UGGGGAAUAUUGCACAAUGGGCGAAAGCCUGAUGCAGCAACGCCGCGUGAGUGAUGAAGGCCUUCGGGUUGUAAAGCUCUGUCUUUUGGGACGAUAAUGACGGUACCAAAGGAGGAAGCCACGGCUAACUACGUGCCAGCAGCCGCGGUAAUACGUAGGUGGCAAGCGUUGUCCGGAUUUACUGGGCGUAAAGGGUGCGUAGGUGGAUGUUUAAGUCAGAUGUGAAACCCCUGGGCUCAACCCAGGACCUGCAUUUGAAACUGGACAUCUAGAGUGCGGGAGAGGUAAGUGGAAUUCCUAGUGUAGCGGUGAAAUGCGUAGAGAUUAGGAAGAACACCAGUGGCGAAGGCGACUUACUGGACCGUAACUGACACUGAGGCACGAAAGCGUGGGUAGCAAA
rnacentral:rRNA from 1 species